GAUUGUUUCAUUGUCUCAAAGGAUGAGAUCAGGCUAAUUGAUGAUCUUGCACUAUUUACAGAUAUUAGCAGAAAAGGUAGUGUGACAUGGGCCCGUCCUUUGCCCACGGGACUUCCAAGCCUUGAUCGUCCAUAGCCUAACAGCGGUUAUUGUUUUUGUUUGGGAUGUAUCAAUGUUCCAAUAUUACACAAGAUACUUCUCCUCCUUCAACGUGUCGAAGUUAUAGAGAAAAUGUACCUCCUCAGCCACCAUGCAAAUACGGGAUACAUCACGACAUCACAAAGACGUCUACAGAACAAAGAUCUCUCUUCUAAUAUUAAUCAAAAAAGUGGUCAGGGUAAUCUCACGCCAUCGCAAAGACGGCUUCAGGGUGUUGAUUUCUCAGGACUGAGCCAAAAUGUUUUAACGUCCAAGCUUAUUAUCAGGAAACAGACAGUGUUUAACAAUGACAGAAAAUUCCAACUACCAGCUUCAACAGUACUAAAUCCUGUGAAUGCUCCACCCUCAGGCGGUUAGUCACUACAUCACCAAGUUGUUACUAAAAAUACUAUGUUAAUAUUUUAAUUGUGCGAUAUCAGUAAUAUUUAAUAAUUAUUCAAAAGCAGGAAAUAAAAUUAGUCUAUCCAGACCUGUCAAUUUACUAAAC